GGACUACCCGGGUUUCUAAUCCUGUUUGAUCCCCGCACUUUCGAGCCUCAGUGUCAGUUACAGUUUUGUGAGCUGCCUUCGCAAUCGGUGUUCUAUGACAUAUCUAAGUAUUUCACCACUACAUGUCAUAUUCCGCCCACAGCAACUGUACUCUAGACCUGCAGUAUCAAUGGCAGUUUCCGGGUUAAGCCCGGAGAUUUCACCACUGACUUACAAGUCCACCUACGCUCCCUUUAAACCCAAUGAAUCCGGAUAACGCUUGCAUCCUUCGUCUUACCGCGGCUGCUGGCAC
rnacentral:rRNA from 1 species